rnacentral:rRNA from 1 species
GUCGUCAGCUCGUGUCGUGAGAUGUUGGGUUAAGUCCCGCAACGAGCGCAACCCUUGUCAUUAGUUGCUACAUUAAGUUGGGCACUCUAAUGAGACUGCCGGUGACAAACCGGAGAAAGGUGGGGAUGACGUCAAGUCCUCAUGGCCCUUAUGCGUAGGGCUUCACACGUCAUACAAUGGUCGGUACAGAGGGUCGCCAACCCGCGAGGGGGAGCCAAUCUCAGAAAGCCGAUCGUAGUCCGGAUCGUAGUCUGCAACUCGACUACGUGAAGUCGGAAUCGCUAGUAAUCGCGGAUCAGCAUGUCGCGGUGAAUACGUUCCCGGGCCUUGUACACACCGCCCGUCACACCAGGGGAGCGGGUUUUACAGAAGUAGCUAGGCUAACCGCAAGAAGGCCGGUUACCACGGUAGGAUUCGUGACUGGGGGUGAGUCGUA